rnacentral:rRNA from 1 species
AUUGAACGCUGGCGGCAGGCCUAACACAUGCAAGUCGAGCGGAUGAAGGGAGCUUGCUCCUGGAUUCAGCGGCGGACGGGUGAGUAAUGCCUAGGAAUCUGCCUGGUAGUGGGGGAUAACGUCCGGAAACGGGCGCUAAUACCGCAUACGUCCUGAGGGAGAAAGUGGGGGAUCUUCGGACCUCACGCUAUCAGAUGAGCCUAGGUCGGAGUAGCUAGUUGGUGGGGUAAAGGCCUACCAAGGCGACGAUCCGUAACUGGUCUGAGAGGAUGAUCAGUCACACUGGAACUGAGACACGGUCCAGACUCCUACGGGAGGCAGCAGUGGGGAAUAUUGGACAAUGGGCGAAAGCCUGAUCCAGCAAUGCCGCGUGUGUGAAGAAGGUCUUCGGAUUGUAAAGCACUUUAAGUUGGGAGGAAGGGAAGUAAGUUAAUACCUUGCUGUUUUGACGUUACCAACAGAAUAAGCACCGGCUAACUUCGUG